rnacentral:rRNA from 1 species
UACGUAGGGUGCGAGCGUUGUCCGGAAUUAUUGGGCGUAAAGAGCUCGUAGGCGGCCUGUCGCGUCGAUCGUGAAAACUUGGGGCUUAACCCUGAGCUUGCGGUCGAUACGGGCAUGACUGGAGUUCGGCAGGGGAGACUGGAAUUCCUGGUGUAGCGGUGAAAUGCGCAGAUAUCAGGAGGAACACCGGUGGCGAAGGCGGUUCUCUGGGCAUGUCCUGACGCUGAGGAGCGAAAGUGUGGGGAGCGAACAGG